AUUGAACGCUGGCGGCAGGCCUAACACAUGCAAGUCGAACGAGUGGCGGACGGGUGAGUAAUGUAUGGGAAACUGCCCGAUGGAGGGGGAUAACUACUGGAAAGGGUAGCUAAUACAGCAUAGCAUCGGAUGGGGCUAGAUGGGAUUAGCUAGUGGGUGGGGUAAAGGCUCACCUAGGCGACGAUCCCUAGCUGGUUUGAGAGGAGGACCAGCCACACGGGAACUGAGACACGGUCCAUACUCCUCCGGGAGGCAGCAGUGGGGAAUUUUGGACAAUGGGCGCAAGCCUGAUGCAGCCAUGCCGCGUGUAUGAUGAAGUCCUUCGGGUUGUAAAGUACUUUCGGCGGGGAGGCGUUACCCGCAGAAGAAGCACCGGCUAACUCCGUGCCAGCAGCCGCGGUAAUAC
rnacentral:rRNA from 1 species